UACGUAGGGUGCGAGCGUUAAUCGGAAUUACUGGGCGUAAAGCGUGCGCAGGCGGUUCUGCAAGUCAGAUGUGAAAUCCCCGGGCUUAACCUGGGAACUGCGUUUGAAACUACGGAGCUAGAGUGCGGCAGAGGGGGGUGGAAUUCCACGUGUAGCAGUGAAAUGCGUAGAUAUGUGGAGGAACAUCAGUGGCGAAGGCGGCUGCCUGGCCCAAUACUGACACUCAGGUGCGACAGCGUGGGGAGCAAACAGG
rnacentral:rRNA from 1 species